GAUGAACGCUGGCGGCGUGCCUAAUACAUGCAAGUCGAGCGAACAGACGAGGAGCUUGCUCCUCUGACGUUAGCGGCGGACGGGUGAGUAACACGUGGAUAACCUACCUAUAAGACUGGGAUAACUUCAGGAAACCGGAGCUAAUACCGGAUAAUAUAUUGAACCGCAUGGUUCAAUAGUGAAAGACGGUUUUGCUGUCACUUAUAGAUGGAUCCGCGCCGCAUUAGCUAGUUGGUAAGGUAACGGCUUACCAAGGCAACGAUGCGAAGCCGACCUGAGAGGGUGAUCGGCCACACUGGAACUGAGACACGGUCCAGACUCCUACGGGAGGCAGCAGUAGGGAAUCUUCCGCAAUGGGCGAAAGCCUGACGGAGCAACGCCGCGUGAGUGAUGAAGGUCUUCGGAUCGUAAAACUCUGUUAUUAGGGAAGAACAAAUGUGUAAGUAACUAUGCACGUCUUGACGGUACCUAAUCAGAAAGCCACGGCUAACUACGUG
rnacentral:rRNA from 1 species